UCUGACUUACUGAGUGAGGACUGUAGGAA
rnacentral:piRNA from 1 species